UUCACACAAACAGACCUAGAACAAGUUGUCAUUCAUAUAUCUAAACCUGAAUACAUACAGUUUGUGAAGCUCAGGUUUAGUGAUUCACACAGCAAUGGGUUUGAUUUUCUGCUUUGCGAACAAACCGAUUACGAAGAUAACUACGGCAAUGAGGUUCAUCAGUGUCACCUUUAUUUUUCAAGAACAUGUACCAAAGAUAUGGCAGCUACGAGCUAUUACUUGACACAAGCCUUAAGUAUGAUUGGAGUACUAACAUUUUCAAAGAAUACGCAUGACAAACUGGCUUCGUGUCUAAUCAAACGUUAUGGUCAAACACUCGUACCCAAAUGCACUACUGAUUUUUGGAACAAACAACUUGACUCAUUUCGCAUGAGAAGCAUUCUUGAGGUCUCGCAGCAAGAUGACUCAGCGACACUUCGUGAUGAAAUUGAGCGUUUGGUGCAAACAAAGUACAACUUUGUUUCUUGUCAAUACAAUACUGCAAACAAAAUUCUCAAUAUUCUGUACACGAACACAAGUGACAACAACUUUGGGUUAGUGGUUCUCAAACAGUCGCUGAAUAUAAAAUGCGCUACAUGACUAUUGAUUCAAAUCAUUUUUGAUUUAAACACCAAAGCGACAACAUGUCUGUACCAGCAAAUAAAUUUCAAGUUCCACAGACUGAGAAUUGGGACUUAGAAAUAAGCCAGUCCGAGAUGAAAAAAAAUACCAGCAUCGGGGUGGUAACUCCAAAAACGAAAACCGAAGACUGGGAAGCUGAAAUUGCGGUGGCGAAACGUCCUCCAUUCUUUCUCAGCGUGGGCAAAAUAACACAGCGACGUAUAAACCGAAUGCACCGAUGCUGGACCUGUCACUGCGUGCCUGUCAAUUGUCGAUGUGCAAAAUAUUGAAUAAACUUGUUGAAACGUUAA